GUUCCCAUUCUUUAGGGUGCGAUUGUGUUCUCCAACAUUGUAACAAUAGUAUCUCCAUCUUUCUCUCCCUGCCCUGACUCUCUCUAUCUCUCCGCCCUAAUUUCGUUCAAAAAUAUGAUAACAUGGGGGCUGAAAUGGCUGACCAUGUUCAAGGGGUUUGAUUGGAUUACUGCAUGGGAUAGAGAAAUUUGAUUCUUCAAAAGGGUACAAAAUAUCAACUUAUGUAUAUUGGUGGAUUUGUCAGCAACUGAAGUAUAGAAGCCUCAGAAGAACCAGCUCCUUCCACCAACAUCACCCAGCCAACUAGUACAGAAGAUAGACUCUGUUGCAAGUUCUAUUAUCAAUAUUAUUUCCACCUUUUAAGUUCUGAACAUGAAGAA